AGGAAUACAGGGACCGUUAUCAGGUACAAUUGCCUCUACAAAUGUUUUAUCUGGUACUGAGCUCUAUAGUGAAUGUCAACAUACUGUUGCAUUUAAUUCUGCUGAAAAGAACACAAAGGAGUUCUGAAGAUGCAGUUGGUGUCAAAAACAUGUUAUCUUUGGGUAGAGAACUGGUUCUUUGCCUCUGAGAUGUACUCAAUAACAAGGUUAAUGAAUUACAUUACACCUUUUUACUGAUCUAAAAAAGAAAAUGAUGAAAGGGAAACAAACUAAGAGAAAUUUAAAUUUAACUACGUAAGCUGUUUUGGAAUGAAUUUUGAUUUUCCAUUGAUUGCUUGGUUGGUGAAUAAUCAUGGUCAAUUUGAUCAGCAGCAAGUAGGGUGUAAAUAAGCAGCGCAAAGUAUUUAACUCUUUAGCUUGGAUUGGUCAUUUUAAAAUAGACUUGGCCAAAGGCUGGUUCAUAAUCAAAACGGUACCCAUUUUAUCUGGAAUCAAAAUCAGACAGGAAUUGGUCAAAUUUGGAUUGACCAAAACUGUCUUUGAGUAGGACCUUAAACUAAUCGGUUUGGCUCCGGGCUAAAAUUGGAUACUCUUAAAAACAAUUUUGAAAAAAAAUUCAACCACUGGAUUUGAUUAAACCAAAAUCGAACUAGAACUGCCAAGGACCAUGCAGUUCCGAUUCCGGUUCCGGUUUUGGUUUCAGUUCUACUGAACUCUUGAACCGGAAUCGCUGUUUUCAGUCCAGUUUGGCCUGUUGGCCAGGCCUAAAGUGUUGCUCAAGUCAGCUUGAGAGAGCUGAGGAAGUGGGAAAUACAAGAGCCUAGCCCAGACUCAAACCAUGGCUUGAAUUCAGCCCUAAAUUAUAUAUGAUGAUUAGCGGGGAAUACAUAUUAUAAGCCUUAUUUUGGUGGUUUAUAAUCCUGAUUAUGCAUGACCCCAGAGGAGGUCUAAGAUUCAUCAAAUGCAGGACAUACUAUGCAAUGAUUGU
rnacentral:misc_RNA from 1 species